rnacentral:rRNA from 1 species
GAAUAUUGCACAAUGGGCGCAAGCCUGAUGCAGCAACGCCGCGUGAGGGAUGACGGCCUUCGGGUUGUAAACCUCUUUUGUCAGGGAAGAAGCCUUUGGGUGACGGUACCUGGAGAAAAAGCACCGGCUAACUACGUGCCAGCAGCCGCGGUAAUACGUAGGGUGCAAGCGUUGUCCGGAAUUAUUGGGCGUGAAGAGCUCGUAGGCGGCUUGUCGCGUCUGCUGUGAAAACCCGAGGCUCAACCUCGGGCCUGCAGUGGGUACGGGCAGGCUAGAGUGCGGUAGGGGAGAUUGGAAUUCCUGGUGUAGCGGUGGAAUGCGCAGAUAUCAGGAGGAACACCGAUGGCGAAGGCAGCCAUCUGGCCUAAUACUGACGCUGAGGUACGAAAGCAUGGGGAGCAAACAG